rnacentral:misc_RNA from 1 species
UGCUCUCAUCGAGUCCACCCCUUCACACACCCUACAUCCGCCAUCACGCCCAUCUCGCGCUCUGUCUUUCCCGGGCAUACAUACCCCACCAUUACCAGCGCUACCAUUUUCGCCUUCACUGCAGCGAUCACCACUCGUACCACUGCGACUCUCAUCGAGCCCUAACGUCAAGCAGCAGCAGCAUCGGCAACGAAAGGAGCCGCAUCCGUAGCCGUCGCGCUACAGACCCCGUUCUUCCCUCCUCUUCUCUCUCGCACCCGGCGCUGGACCCCUGCGAACUGCUGUCGUCCUGGCGCUUCAUUGCUCGCGUUCCUUUUCCCUUCCGCUUGUACUCUGUUCGCGCACACCAUGCCGACGAUUCGCAACCUCACAGCUGUAGCGGCCGUGGUGGCGGCGACGGUGCUGCUGGUUGCAACGAGCGCCACGGCGCAGGCGGACCAGAUGUGCAGUGACCCGGCAAACCCGUUGGCGAGCAUCGAUUACAGCGACGCGGCUGUGCAGGCCUGUGUAGUUGCCCGGUGCACCACGACGCUGAAUGUCACACCCACCAUAACAGCAGACGGCUUCUGCGACGGCGUGGCCACCUCCGAGUCGUCUGCUCCGUGCAACAAGCUGGAGAUGGGCUACAAUGCGUACUACGCCUGCCUUGUGCACGCGCUGCAGGGUACGAAUACGACCGGCCUCGUCGAAUUUGGUGCUGCCGCCAAGGAGUUCCUCAGCACCCCCGGCUUCCCGUACCGCCUCUCCCUCCUCGGCUGCUACGCAUGCAACCAUUACCGUUUAACCGUAUUCCCGUCCUUGGACAGCAAGUGCUCGAACUGGACCUGUGCCACCGUCUCUUCGCAGAGCCCGUCUGCGCCAGCUUAUGGCCAGCCGGACGAGGGCUACAACCACCGCCUGUGCAGCACGGGCUGUAUCACGGGCAUCAUAAUGAUUCCCUUCACUGUUGUCACAUGCGCCAUCUUCUUCGCGUGCGGGUGCUGCUGGCCGUCCCCAUCGCUGAAGACGACCUACGAAGCGAUGCUUCAGGAGGAAAGGCGAAAAUACCGCCGGCACCCCGCAGCCGACGACGACGAUUCGCAUGACCUGGAUAACGGCUGCUAUAGCCUUGCGCACGAGCCGGCGCCCGUAAGCGAUCAGAAGAGCCACCCCGAGGUUGCGGGGCAGCACUCUGUGGGAAAUUAGGCGCCUACUAUGUGCACAGAAACGUAGCCCAUAUGCACAAUCUUCUGGAUGGACCUCAAAUCUCGUGCACGCGUGUGUGUGGCAGAGAGAAUGACGGCAGCGAAAGUGGACCAAUGUGCACAGGAAAAGUGAGAGGCAGCCGGUGUGAGGUGUGCAUCUAGGUCAACCCCUCCCUCAUAAGCGUCGUGCACGCGCAUCACUAGAGGUGCUCUGCCUCUCCUAAUCACACACACACACACACAUGCACGUACACGUUGCAUCAACGUGGGGAUGGUGUGGGGUUUGCUCGCAGACCAGCCACUUCGCAUUCCUCAACGCCCACAACGACACAGAAACAGACACAGACGUGCGAGAACAGGCUUUGAUGGCUCGGUGUGUGUACGCGUGUGCCUACUUCAGUGUAUGUAUGUGCAUCAGUGCAGGACUUUCAUAAUGUGGCCUUCGCUGCGUGCCACUGUCCUCCUCCACCUUGGCUUUCUAUUAUCAUUGUCUCCCUCUCUUUGACGGCGGGUGUUCUCCCUCCUCCUCCUCCCCCCCUCCCAUCCUCAUCGUCCUCUUCUUGUGCAUCUUUCGUCUUUAAAGCCCCUCCCCCUCUCCCUUACCAUCUACGCACACACAUACACGCGCGCACGCCCGCCAUCCGUAAAAAAUUCCUUUUUUCCUUCGACGUUGUAUCGGCCUUUACGGCGUUGUCUGUGGAGGUUUCGGUGUGUGUGUGUGUGUGUGUGCGUGUGUAGAGGUGUUGGUUUGUGUCGGUGCCGUCUUGCCCUUUUACGUGGUGGAUGUCUUUCAGUCGUUGGCGCUCAUUCCCGUCCAUUUCUCUCUCCUUCCUUAAAUAUACGUACAUAUAUAUAUAUAUAUAUGUGCGCGUGUGUGUGCGUGUGUAGGUAGGUUUGUGUGUGUAUGCGUGUGUGUGCGUGUGCUGUAGCCCUAUAUGCCUUGUGCUGUUCGCCGCAUGCAAAGUAGCGAGCGCUCACAGACAGGUGAAUGGGAAGAGGGAGGACGAUGUGGUCGCCGUGCCUCGUGUGCAUGCAUCCGUAUGCAACGCAACCACCCUUUCGUGUCUUCUUAUGGGCACCACCCCUCCCCCCCCCCACACACACACAUAUAUAUAUACAAGCCUCACCAUUCUUCACCAACAGCAUUUCUUCAUCUGCCCGCCGUAGCAUCCCUCAUCCUCACUUCACUCCGUCAUGGGCUCACUAUCGGUGGGAUUUUAGACGCCGGUCAAACGCCUCAUCUCCCCCCUCCUCGUCCUCGUCCAUGAGCUGCCCACUUCUGCUGCUGACGCAGCAACGCUUGUAUGUUUCCGCGUAUGCCAUUCCCGUUGUUUUCUCUCGUUGUCAACCCUGACUCAUCGGCGGAAUGGUGCACCGUGUAGGUGCUGGCGGCUUCUUCCUUUGUUCAGUUCACGCUGCUCUUUUCGUGUUGUGAAUCUGUGUCUCACAGCCUCGGCAGUGGCGUGUGCGCGUGCGCGUGCGUGUGUGGGGUCUCCUCUGUGCGAUGCCUCUCUCUCUCUUGCACAUCGCAUCUGGUUUUCCGUUUCCCAGUCGUGGCGCUCGCUUGUUUACUUGUUUCAGUCGUGUUUUUAUUGUUGGUGCUGCCUUGCUCACAUUCGUCGCGCAAUUCCCCCACCCGUCCUACCAGCGUAUUCGAACCACGGUGCGUGGUGGGCGACCGACGAGAGGCGAUCUGAAUUCGUAGAGAGAUGUGUCACGUGACGUCGACCUCCACGUGCAGACAAAGAGGAGAGGCCGUAGGAGAAGCAUGUAAAAGCACGGUGCAUCUUGUGCGCUCGCGCUUUCUCGCGUCAUGAAGAUGGUGAGGCUUUAGCGUGCGCUGGUGCCGUCAAUGAUGGCGGCAGACGACGCCUCGCAUCAGAUA